CGCAGACAACCAGGAGGUUGGCUUAGAAGCAGCCACCCUUGAAAGAGUGCGUAAUAGCUCACUGGUCGAUGCGCUGCGGCGCCGACAAUCCACCGGGGCUCAAGCAUGUCACCGAAGCUGCGGAUGUCGUUCUUGAACGACGUGGUAGGGGAGCGUCGUGGUCAGCAGAGAAGGGGGCGCGUGAGCAAACCUGGAGCGGCCACGAGUGCGAAUGUUGGCAUGAGUAGCGCGAGGGGAGUGAGAAUCUUCCCCACCGAAUGCCCGAGGGUUCCGCAGCGAUGCUGAUCAACUGCGGGUGAGGCGGGCCUAAGCCGAGGCCGGAAGGCGUAGGCGAUGGACA
rnacentral:rRNA from 1 species